rnacentral:rRNA from 1 species
GACGAACGCUGGCGGCGUGCUUAACACAUGCAAGUCGAACGGAAAGGCCCCUUUGGGGGUACUCGAGUGGCGAACGGGUGAGUAACACGUGAGUAACCUGCCCUUGACUUCGGGAUAACUUCAGGAAACUGGGGCUAAUACCGGAUAGGAAUCCUUGCUGCAUGGUGGGGGUUGGAAAGCUUCGGCGGUUUUGGAUGGACUCGCGGCUUAUCAGCUUGUUGGUGGGGUAGUGGCUUACCAAGGCUUUGACGGGUAGCCGGCCUGGGAGGGCGACCGGCCACAUUGGGACUGAGAUACGGCCCAGACUCCUACGGGAGGCAGCAGUGGGGAAUAUUGCACAAUGGGCGGAAGCCUGAUGCAGCAACGCCGUGUGCGGGAUGACGGCCUUCGGGUUGUAAACCGCUUUCAGCAGGGGCGAAGCUUGUGGUGACGGUACCUGCAGAAGAAGCACCGGCUAACUACGUG